GACGAACCGUGCGAACGUUAUUCGGAAUCACUGGGCUUAAAGCGCGUGUAGGCGGCCCGGUAAGUCCGCUGUGAAAGUCCAGGGCUCAACCCUGGGAUGCCGGUGGAUACUGUCGGGCUCGAGUCCGGAAGAGGCGAGUGGAAUUCCUGGUGUAGCGGUGAAAUGCGCAGAUAUCAGGAGGAACACCAAUGGCGAAGGCAGCUCGCUGGGACGUGACUGACGCUGAGACGCGAAAGCGUGGGAGCAACAG
rnacentral:rRNA from 1 species